rnacentral:rRNA from 1 species
UACAGAGGUCUCAAGCGUUGUUCGGAUUCAUUGGGCGUAAAGGGUGCGUAGGCGGCGCGGUAAGUCGGGUGUGAAAUCUCGGAGCUUAACUCCGAAACUGCAUUCGAUACUGCCGUGCUUGAGGACUGGAGAGGAGACUGGAAUUUACGGUGUAGCGGUGAAAUGCGUAGAUAUCGUAAGGAAGACCAGUGGCGAAGGCGGGUCUCUGGACAGUUCCUGACGCUGAGGAGCGAAAGCCAGGGGAGCAAACGGG